GACGAACGCUGGCGGCGUGCCUAACACAUGCAAGUCGAACGGAGUGGCGGACGGGUGAGUAACGCGUGAGUAACCUGCCCUAAGAGGGGAAUAACAUUCUGAAAAGAAUGCUAAUACCGCAUACUUAGAGAUGGACUCGCGUCCGAUUAGUUAGUUGGUGAGGUAACGGCUCACCAAGACCGCGAUCGGUAGCCGGACUGAGAGGUUGAACGGCCACAUUGGGACUGAGACACGGCCCAGACUCCUACGGGAGGCAGCAGUGGGGGAUAUUGCGCAAUGGGGGAAACCCUGACGCAGCAACGCCGCGUGAAGGAUGAAGGUCUUCGGAUUGUAAACUUCUUUUAUUAAGGACGCGGUACUUAAUGAAUAAGCUCCGGCUAACUACGUGCCAGCAGCCGCGGUAAUACGUAGGGAGCAAGCGUUGUCCGGAUUUACUGGGUGUAAAGGGUGCGUAGGCGGCUUUGCAAGUCAGAUGUGAAAUCUAUGGGCUCAACCCAUAGCCUGCAUUUGAAACUGCAGAGCUUGAGUGAAGUAGAGGCAGGCGGAAUUCCCCGUGUAGCGGUGAAAUGCGUAGAGAUGGGGAGGAACACCAGUGGCGAAGGCGGCCUGCUGGGCUUUAACUGACGCUGAGGCACGAAAGCGUGGGUAGCAAACAGGAUUAGAUACCCUGGUAGUCCACGCUGUAAACGAUGAUUACUAGGUGUGGGGCCGUGCCGGAGUUAACACAAUAAGUAAUCCACCUGGGGAGUACGGCCGCAAGGUUGCAACUCAAAGGAAUUGACGGA
rnacentral:rRNA from 1 species